CAACUCAAUGUCAAACUUUAAUUGUUUCUUCUCUAAUUAACCUACAUGCCCUGUGAUAAAUAUUCAAUAAACAAUGAAUUAACUAGCAGCCAGCACAAUGUUUUGACAAGCAGGUCGGAUGAGCACAC